rnacentral:rRNA from 1 species
CCUACGGGGGGCAGCAGUGAGGAAUAUUGGUCAAUGGGCGCAAGCCUGAACCAGCCAAGUAGCGUGCGGGAUGAAGGCCCUACGGGUCGUAAACCGCUUUUGCACGGGGAUAACACCCUCCCCUUGUGGAGGUCUGCAGGUACCUUGCGAAUAAGGGCCGGCUAAUUCCGUGCCAGCAGCGGCGGUAAUACGGAGGGCCCGAGCGUUAUCCGGAUUCAUUGGGCUUAAAGGGAGAGUAGGGGGGCGUUCAAGUCAGCUGUAAAAUCGCGGGGCUCAACAGCGCCCCGAAGUUGAAACUGGACGCCUUGAGUUCACAAGAGGUAGGCGGAAUUCGUGGUGUAGCGGUGAAAUGCAUAGAUAUCACGAGGAACCCCGAUUGCGAAGGCAGCCUGCUGGGGUGCGACUGACGCUGAGGCUCGAAGGUGUGGGUAUCAAACAGGAUUAGAUACCCUGGUAGUC